UGCUCCUUUUGGCUUGUAAGUCAGUGGUGAAAUACUGCCGCUUAACGGUAGAACUGCCAUUGAUACUGCAAGUCUUGAGUAUGGUUGAGGUAGGCGGAAUGUGUUGUGUAGCGGUGAAAUGCAUAGAUAUGACACAGAACUCCAAUUGCGAAGGCAGCUUACUAAGCCAUUACUGACGCUGAGGCACGAAAGCGUGGGGAGCGAACAGGAUUAGAUACCCUGGUAGUCC
rnacentral:rRNA from 1 species